GACGUCGAGGUGCGCGGCGCCGUGCACUGCGUCACUCUUGGCUGUCGGCGUCUGUUCUCUGUACUCGUCACGCAGCGUUCUCCCGCAGCUUAGUUAUCCACCGCCAUCCUGGCCCCCACGUGUUGCCUGACUAUUCUUGAGCCCAGCAGAGAAGUGGGGCUUCUGCAUGACCUCGCUGGACCCCAGGCAGGAUGGGACGUGUGGUCUGGAGGGACCUCACCGGAACGGAUGGGAUGGCGGGUAGACCAGCCGCAAGAGAAGCUGUAGAGUGGCCCAGGCGUUGCAAGGAGCUAGAGCUGGAUAACGGUUCAGAGGCACAAGCUGGAGCUGACUGCAUUUGUUCCCCUCUAGGGGGGAGCCAUGGCUGAGGUGAUGGUCUCACAGUGGAAGAGCUUACUGUCACAGCAACUCUUCUGCAAGAUGCCCCGGUGAGGCUUCCAGCUGAUUCUGUCUUUUCAGUCCAGGAACAGUGGCUGAACACCCCAGGCCUGCUGAGCUCCCUCCUUGAGUCUCAUGUUCAAGCAGUCUUUGUCCACAAAACUGGGAGGCUACCUUGUUAGCUGCCAGUUCCUGUCAGCCACCUCUCACCAGCAGCUCCGCUGUGUCCCUGACCCAACACAUGGCACAAGAGUGCCUGCUGUCCCUCCGUAUUUCUACAGCAGCAAUCCCAGGAUGCCAGAGCUAGCGGCGACCUGACCUGAGAGACGAUUCCUUCAGUGGCUGCCAGGCUGUUCCCUGGAACCUGUGCAGGGAUGAGGCAUGCCCGUGUUAAUACACCUAGUGAGGAGUGGAGCUGAAUUUGAACGCAAGUCUUGGCACCUUAAUUGAGCAAGUUUGAAACCUUCCUUGCUGCCCUUCUGGAAGGAGUCAGGAAUUUCUGGUUCUGGGCCUGGGCUCUGGGCCUAGGUUUGGGUACCAGGUUCUCUGCUUCCAGAAUGAGAAGCCUUGCUGUGCUCCAGCACCUGGGCCCUUCUGGUAUCUCCUGAAUGAAAAACAAGGGAUAUUUAAUAAAUACGGAUUUAAGUAUG